UAACCACUGGUCCAAAUAUAAUACUUGGCACAUUUGCAUAAAAAUUUGAAAGAUGGUAGGACUCCAUUCAUAUAUUCCAUUUUCAUCUCUUCCUUUUUUAGUCGCGUUCCCACUCAGUUUACUAGUGUUUAAAUCUUUUGGGUCAUCAUUGGAGGAUGAAGCAAACAAGUUAAAUAUAAGGAAGGCUAUGUAGAGACUGGAAGAAUAGGCCUGCCCUGAGGGGUCGUCAUGGCGGCAUGCUUGCUGCGUCCUUCAUCUUGGUCGUGGAUGUAGUAGAGAUUCUAGCACACUUGGCAAAUGCAAGUACCUUGUGCUAUACCAGUCGAAGGGCACAGCCUUCCUCCUUGCUGUACUUGGUGGCUUUCUAGCAGAUGGUUUUUUUCACUACCUGUUGCGUCUACUUGAUAAGUGCUCCAAUAGAAUUCAUGGUAAUUAAGAUCACAAAGCUACUUUACUCUUGUAUAGUAGGACAUAUUUUUUCAUUUAAUGAAAUAUUCUUGCCGUCAUUGAAAAAGGGAAUUAGUAACCCCUAUUAUUCUAAUAAAUUGUGCUAGAUUGUCCAAUCAUAUUCAGGUAGCUGGUUACAUUCCACAGGCUCAAGUGAAGAUUUCAGUUCUCUGUGGUCCCCUUUCAAAUGAAAAUAG
rnacentral:misc_RNA from 1 species